rnacentral:rRNA from 1 species
AGCUAAUACCGCAUAACGUCGCAAGACCAAAGAGGGGGACCUUCGGGCCUCUUGCCAUCGGAUGUGCCCAGAUGGGAUUAGCUAGUAGGUGGGGUAACGGCUCACCUAGGCGACGAUCCCUAGCUGGUCUGAGAGGAUGACCAGCCACACUGGAACUGAGACACGGUCCAGACUCCUACGGGAGGCAGCAGUGGGGAAUAUUGCACAAUGGGCGCAAGCCUGAUGCAGCCAUGCCGCGUGUAUGAAGAAGGCCUUCGGGUUGUAAAGUACUUUCAGCGGGGAGGAAGGGAGUAAAGUUAAUACCUUUGCUCAUUGACGUUACCCGCAGAAGAAGCACCGGCUAACUCCGUGCCAGCAGCCGCGGUAAUACGGAGGGUGCAAGCGUUAAUCGGAAUUACUGGGCGUAAAGCGCACGCAGGCGGUUUGUUAAGUCAGAUGUGAAAUCCCCGGGCUCAACCUGGGAACUGCAUCUGAUACUGGCAAGCUUGAGUCUCGUAGAGGGGGGUAGAAUUCCAGGUGUAGCGGUGAAAUGC